rnacentral:rRNA from 1 species
GUGGGGAAUAUUGGGCAAUGGGCGCAAGCCUGACCCAGCAACGCCGCGUGAAGGAAGAAGGCUUUCGGGUUGUAAACUUCUUUUACCAGGGACGAAACAAAUGACGGUACCUGGUGAAUAAGCCACGGCUAACUACGUGCCAGCAGCCGCGGUAAUACGUAGGUGGCGAGCGUUAUCCGGAUUUAUUGGGUGUAAAGGGCGCGUAGGCGGACUGGCAAGUCAGAUGUGAAAUACAGGGGCUCAACCCCUGAACUGCAUUUGAAACUGUUGGUCUUGAGUAUCGGAGAGGCAAGCGGAAUUCCUAGUGUAGCGGUGAAAUGCGUAGAUAUUAGGAGGAACACCAGUGGCGAAGGCGGCUUGCUGGACGACAACUGACGCUGAGGCGCGAAAGCGUGGGGAGCAAACAGGAUUAGAAACCCUUGUAGUCC